UACAGAGGUCCUAAGCGUUGUUCGGAUUCAUUGGGCGUAAAGGGUGCGUAGGUGGCCCCGUAAGUGGGGUGUGAAAUCUCGGGGCUUAACUCCGAAACUGCAUUCCAUACUGCGGUGCUUGAGGACUGGAGAGGAGACUGGAAUUUACGGUGUAGCAGUGAAAUGCGUAGAGAUCGUAAGGAAGACCAGUGGCGAAGGCGGGUCUCUGGACAGUUCCUGACACUGAGGCACGAAGGCCAGGGGAGCAAGCGGG
rnacentral:rRNA from 1 species